rnacentral:rRNA from 1 species
AUUGAACGCUGGCGGCAGGCCUAACACAUGCAAGUCGAACGGUAACAGGAAGAAGCUUGCUUCUUUGCUGACGAGUGGCGGACGGGUGAGUAAUGUCUGGGAAACUGCCUGAUGGAGGGGGAUAACUACUGGAAACGGUAGCUAAUACCGCAUAACGUCGCAAGACCAAAGAGGGGGACCUUCGGGCCUCUUGCCAUCGGAUGUGCCCAGAUGGGAUUAGCUAGUAGGUGGGGUAACGGCUCACCUAGGCGACGAUCCCUAGCUGGUCUGAGAGGAUGACCAGCCACACUGGAACUGAGACACGGUCCAGACUCCUACGGGAGGCAGCAGUGGGGAAUAUUGCACAAUGGGCGCAAGCCUGAUGCAGCCAUGCCGCGUGUAUGAAGAAGGCCUUCGGGUUGUAAAGUACUUUCAGCGGGGAGGAAGGGAGUAAAGUUAAUACCUUUGCUCAUUGACGUUACCCGCAGAAGAAGCACCGGCUAACUCCGUGCCAGCAGCCGCGGUAAUACGGAGGGUGCGAGCGUUAAUCGCAAUUACUGGGCGUAAAGCGCACGCAGGCGGUUUGUUAAGUCAGAUGUGAAAUCCCCGGGCUCAACCUGGGAACUGCAUCUGAUACUGGCAAGCUUGAGUCUCGUAGAGGGGGGUAGAAUUCCAGGUGUAGCGGUGAAAUGCGUAGAGAUCUGGAGGAAUACCGGUGGCGAAGGCGGCCCCCUGGACGAAGACUGACGCUCAGGUGCGAAAGCGUGGGGAGUAAACAGGAUUAGAUACCCUGGUAGUCCACGCCGUAAACGAUGUCGACUUGGAGGUUGUGCCCUUGAGGCGUGGCUUCCGGAGCUAACGCGUUAAGUCGACCGCCUGGGGAGUACGGCCGCAAGGUUAAAACUCAAAUGAAUUGGCGGGGGCCCGCACAAGCGGUGGAGCAUGUGGUUUAAUUCGAUGCAACGCGAAGAACCUUACCUGGUCUUGACAUCCACGGAAGUUUUCAGAGAUGAGAAUGUGCCUUCGGGAACCGUGAGACAGGUGCUGCAUGGCUGUCGUCAGCUCGUGUUGUGAAAUGUUGGGUUAAGUCCCGCAACGAGCGCAACCCUUAUCCUUUGUUGCCAGCGGUCCGGCCGGGAACUCAAAGGAGACUGCCAGUGAUAAACUGGAGGAAGGUGGGGAUGACGUCAAGUCAUCAUGGCCCUUACGACCAGGGCUACACACGUGCUACAAUGGCGCAUACAAAGAGAAGCGACCUCGCGAGAGCAAGCGGACCUCAUAAAGUGCGUCGUAGUCCGGAUUGGAGUCUGCAACUCGACUCCAUGAAGUCGGAAUCGCUAGUAAUCGUGGAUCAGAAUGCCACGGUGAAUACGUUCCCGGGCACU